rnacentral:lncRNA from 1 species
CCCUCUUCUUAUUUCCAGCUGUAGCUCUCUGAUCUCCCAUCUUCUUCCUCGCAGCUGUCCCCAUUGGUGGUGGUGGUCAUGGAGAGGGCUCUGCCAUGGCUGUUGAAUUGGAGCGGCCCUUGCGGAGAUCCGGAUUGAGAAGUGCUUUGCUGAGAAGCUGUGUCUUGGUCUUGCUGCUGCUGCUGCUGCUGCUGCUGCUGCUGCUGCUGCAUCCACAAUCCGCCCAUCACCACAACUUGUGGGUUCGGAUUGGGCGCGGUAUUCG